ensembl:snRNA U6 U6 spliceosomal RNA
GAGCUCAUUUUGGCAGCACGUACAUUAAAACUAGAACGAUACGGAGAUUAGUACGGCCCCUGCAUACAGAUGACACACAAAUUCAUAAAGAGUUCCAUAAUAAA